AGACCCAUUCCUGGUCUGAUGCAGGAUCCCCAAAUGUGCCUCUAGAAAACUAUGGAUUUUUAAAAAUCACAAAAAUGAGACUGAGAUCCAACUGAAUACAGAAAAAAAGCCAAUUACAUUAUGUAGAAAAACAUUUUUUUAAUCAGUUUCUUACUAUAUAUACUAUACUAUAAUGCUGUGGUUAAGAAAGAGGGCUUCAGGGACAGGUAGAUAGACAACAAAGACGAAAAUUUCAAACAGAGGUGUAACCUGAUGGGUUAUGUAUGCUAUGGAGAUGUCCAUACAAGGUAAUGUAUGGGGAGAGCAGUCUUAAUGUCUCAAUCUGUCCUGUGCCCAGUGAUCAGAGCGCCACUGACUAUCAUUGUGAGGCAGCUGAGACAGCAAACUUUCAGUACAGUAGCUCAGCCAACUUUUAAGACCCGGCACUUUGCUCUAGCAUUCCAAGGCUUUUUUACCCUUUAAUCAGAUAGGAAAGUCAAGAGACAUGUGGAAAUGAGGAAAUGUGGGAGACAGAGAGGGUUGACAUGGAGCAAAGGGCCACAGGGUGUACCCCGCCUUUUGCCCAAUGUAAACUGGGAUUGGCUCCAGCCCCCCCGCGACCUUG